CCCUGGGGGCGAAAUGGUUACAAACCCAGGUGAAGGGAGAUCCGGAAAGGCAAAUCCGCCGGAUCGUCUGCCAGGAAAAUCCUCUAAGGAGAGUUAGGUGACUGUACCACAAACGGACACACGUGGACGAGAUGAGUAUUCUCAGGCGCUCGGGUGAUGAGUUGUUAAGGAACUAGGCAAAUUAACCCCGUAACUUCGGGAGAAGGGGUGCCCAUGCAAAUGGGCCGCAGUGAAUAGCGUCAGGCGACUGUUUAACAAAAACACAGGUCUCUGCUAAGUCGAAAACGAUGUAUAGGGGCUGACGCCUGCCCGGUGCCGGAAGGUUAAAGGGAGUGGUUAGCGCAAGCGAAGCUACGAACUGAAGCCCCGGUGAACGGCGGCCGUAACUAUAACGGUCCUAAGGUAGCAAAAUUCCUUGUCGGGUAAGUUCCGACCUGCACGAAUGGCGUAACGAUCUGACGACUGUCUCAACAACUCGCCCGGCGAAUUUGUGUUCCGGUGAAGACGCCGGAUGCCCGCCACAAGACGGAAAGACCCCGUGCACCUUUACUAUACCCUAUCAGUGAAUUAUGGGUUGGACUGCGCAGGAUAGGUGGGAGGCUUUGAGAUCGGGUUUUUGGACUCGAUGGAGCCAACGGUGAGAUACCACCCUGUGUAAUCUGUGAUUCUAACCUGCUUCCAUGAUCUGGAAGAGGGACACUGGUAGGCGGGUAGUUUGACUGGGGCGGUCGCCUCCUAAAUUGUAACGGAGGCGCUCGAAGCUGCGUUCAGGUGGUUUGGAAAUCCACCGACGAGUGCAAAGGCAUAACGCGGUUAACUGCGAGACCUACAAGUCAAGCAGGUGGGAAACCAGGACUUAGUGAUCCGGUGGUUCUGUAUGGAAGGGCCAUCGCUCAACGGAUAAAAGGUACGCCGGGGAUAACAGGCUGAUCGGAGUCAAGAGUUCACAUCGACGCUCCGGUUUGGCACCUCGAUGUCGGUUCAUCGCAUCCCGGGGGUGUAGAAGCUCCCAAGGGUUAGGCUGUUCGCCUAUUAAAGCGGUACGUGAACUGGGUUCAGAACGUCGCGAGACAGUUCGGUCCCUAUCUGUGGUGGGCGCAGGAAAUUUGAGGGGGCUUGGCCUUAGUACGAGAGGACCGGGCUGAACGAACCUCUUGUGAUACAGUUGUCACUCCAGUGGCACAGCUGUGUAGCGAAGUUCGGUUAGGAUAAGCGCUGAAUGCAUAUAAGUGCGAAACCUUCCCCAAGAUGAGAUUUCCCAACCGUAAGGUAAUAAGGGCCGUGGAAGACUACCACGUUGAUAGGACGGGUGUGUAAGAGUAGUAAUACUUUGAGCUAACCGUUACUAAUAGCCCGUUCGGCUUGACCAU
rnacentral:rRNA from 1 species